rnacentral:misc_RNA from 1 species
UUUCCGUAGGUGAACCUGCGGAAGGAUCAUUAUUGUAUAAUCGAGGUGCGAGGGCUGUCGCUGACCCGAAAGGUCGUGCACGCCCGAGUGCCCUCACACACAUCCAUCUCACCCCUAUGUGCACCACCGCGUGGGUCCCCCUUUGGCUUGUGCGGAGGGGGGCUUACGUUUUCACACAAACUUUGUAUGCAGUGUAGAAUGUAUUUUUUGUUUUUGCGAUCACGCAAUCAAUACAACUUUCAACAACGGAUCUCUUGGCUCUC